UUACAUCAUGAUUUUCAGAUUUCCCCCCCUCAGAUUUAUACUGCAGCUCUGAGGCUCUUCAGUGAAAUAUGCUUAAAGUCUUGCUCAUCUCUCCCUGGAACUACACACUGGUGAGCACAGUCGUGUGUGCUGCACAGCUUGAGUACCAGAGCAGAUGCUUCUGCACUGACUGUUCAUGUGGAAAACAGUGAUCUACAGUAAAGUAAACAGAUAAAGCCACUCUCUCCACAGAGGUACAGAUUUCAAAGAAAACAAUAUAUGGUUUCUAUAGGCAUCUUAGGCCUUCUUGACAGACUUGCCUCAGGUCAACGAUAGAGACUGCUACCUGUGAGUGUGUUUUGAGGGUGAAAUUCUUUCAGCACCAACUCUUCUAAGAGACAAAAUCAAUUAACUCCAGCUUUAUCUUUUCAUGCAGCUCAGGCACUAAGGAGUUUUCUCACCGAACUGAUCACAGAGGAUGACAGUAUGGAAAAGGGACUGUAUUCCUGGACUGCUGUACCUUUGCCUGUAGGUCGUCUUUUAUUUAUUCCCCUUCUCUUCUGGGGAGGGGUUAUUGGGUGAUAGAGUAACUGCUGGAGUUUAAUCCCACAAAUGGGCUGGCAAUAGACAACAGAGCAUUUAUCUGGAAAACCAGCUGGAUUAUACUGGCAGUACCUCAGGAAAGAGGAAUCAAUUGCUCCAAUUAAUUCUGGAGAGCCAGGUUCUUCACUUUGUUAGUUGGAUUUCUAAAUAUGUGCCAAGCAAGGUGCAUUUGGCAUCCAUCAUCAUAUGAUGUUCAAGCAACAGUGUAUUGACAUGAAGCUUCUCCUUCAUGAGGGAAGGCAUAGAAAAGUGCAUAGGACUACAAUGAUUUUCAGGCUUAAAAUGACAGAGCUACUUAGAUACUAAUUUACAGUUCUCUAAAGAUCCUAGGAAAAAUCAAGAUAAUGUUCUACAAAUCUUCUUUAGUGAUGAAAUAUUUUCCUUGUUGUUGUUGGUCUUUGGAUAUUCUGAAUUAAUAAAGGACUUUGUUUUUCAUUGUACAAUCAUUGCACCUUUGGGGGCAAAACUGUCACCUCUUUCUCUGCAAAAAGCAAGCAGCUCACUGAAUUCUACCCAUGAAGGUGUACUCCUGUAGAGCCCACCAGCUCUGUGUAUUUCAAAACCUAACCAGUUCUGUAGAGCAAUACUAGCUGUAUAGUGAACACUUUUUUAUGUGCUCUGGACUUAUUUCACUGGAAACCACACUUUUAACUAUUCUAGUGAAGCAGAGUUUGUGCAUCUUUCUACUUCGCAUGGAUACUCAAGGUAAAUGUUGCUGUUUCUUGUCUUUCUCAUUCACCUCACUAGAAGUCAUUACAGCUAAAACAUGUAGCUCAUUCUUAUAAAAAGGCAUUUUAUAUAAGUGGCUAUAUUGCAGAUACUUCUACUGGUUUAUAUGCACAUGACCAAAGAACUGGCAGUUAUUAUCAGCAUAAAUCUACUUCUUUAAAUAGCUGAAGAACUCGAAAAAUAAUCUAUUAUGUUUGAACCUGCCCAGAGAAAUUUGUCUAAUGGAGAGACCCUUCUAUAGGAUACAUAAUUGACUUAAAAGGAAGUGGGCUGAGUGACAAACAUGCUGUUGAAUUCAUGGAGAGCUGUGCUAGCAUGUGCUGUUUGUGUCUUUGGACAGUGGUGGUGCUUUCUAAAAUAGCUAAAAACUAAGAAUGUUAUGAAUGAGGAAAAAACUCUUACACUUCUCCUGCUUCAGAAAUGGGCUAAGCAUUGAUUAUUCCAAAGGCUGAAACACCUCUGCUUUGAGGAUAGUCUGAGGGAGCUGGGGUUGUUCAGCCUGGAAAAGUGAUGUUUCCAGAGGGACCUUAGAGCUGCUUUCCUGUACCUGAAGGGAUCCUAAAGGAAGGCUGGACAGGGACUUUUCCUAAGGGUGUCUAGCAAUAGGACAAGGCAAGGAAUGCUUUUUAGCUUAGGAAGAGUUAGACUGAGUCUUAGAAAGAGUUCUUCAGUGUGAGGAUGGUGAGGCUCCGGAAUGGGCUGCCCAGGUGGGUUGUGGAUGUCUGCUCCCUGGGGGUGUUCAAGACCAAGUGGGAUGAGGCCUUGAGGAGCCAAGUCUAGUUGAGAGGUGUCCCUGCCCAUGGUGCAGAGGGUUGAGUGAAUAAUCUCUAAAGUCCCUUUCAAUUUAAUCCAUUCUGUGAUGCCACACUUUGUGCUAUUUCAAAAAGGAGUCAUGCAGUGAGUAACAUACAGAUUUCUGGGGACUGUAGUCAAUUUAAUGUCAAUGAGUCAUUUGCAAAAAUUCAGGUUGUUUCUGGGGUUUUGGUUGGGUUUUUUUUUAUGUGUGUGUUUUGUUUGGGGUUUUUGUUGUUGUUGUUUCUAUCUUUUUUUUUUUUUUAAUGCAAUCAAAUUAACUCAAGCCCAGGGAGGUGGUGGAGUCACCAUCCCUGGAGGUGUUCAAGAAAGACUGGAUGAGGCACUUAGUGCCAUGGUCUAGUUGACUGGAUAGGGCUGGGUGCUAGGUUGGACAGGAUGAUCUUGGAGGUCUCUUCCAACCUGGUUGAUUCUCUGAUUCUCUGAUUCUAAACACUGCUCUCUCCCUGUGGCUUGGAUCCCUUGCACAUUCUGCCUUCAAAUGGUUGACUGAAAUGUUACUGUUUUCUCUGUGAGAGAUGUGAUGGAAACGUGCGUUAGGAAGUUGGUUUCUAUACAGAUCACACUCUUAUUUCUCACAGGCAACAAGAAAAUGAUACUUCAAGGUUUAUUUCCAACUAAAUAAUGGAAUAAUGGAGUUUACAAAAGUGCUGGACAAACUCAGUGCUUUCUGUUGUAGCUUCACCUUAAUUCCUAAGCAGAUCAAUAUAUGUGUGUGUUUUUUACUGUUUAAAAUGAAUACAGAAAUGGUUAAGCACAAUAAACUUACUGUGAUACAAGUCUUUUGUAUUCAGAAAGUAUAAUCUGUAUAUUCCUAGGUGCUAGGGUUUUUUUUAUAAUUACUUUUUAUCAAACAAAGUUCAUAACUGACCAAAUGCAUUCAGCAGAAACAGUCCUAGGUGACGGAAUUAGAUAAAGAUUUCUCUGGAGCAUUCUAAGAAUGACUAAGGGGUUUUGCUUGUUUUUUUUUUUCUUGGGGUGUUGUUUGUUGGUUUGUUUUUGUUGUUGUUCCUUGCUGGUUUUUGGUUGGAUUUUUGUUGUUGGUGGUUGGUUUGGGGGGUUGUUUGGGGUUUUUUUUUUGUUUGGUUGGUUUUCAAAUGCCAAUUCAAUUUCUGUUAAACAAAUCAAACAAACAAACAAAAAAAAACCCAACCAAAACCAAUGAAGAAGGUGUUGAGAGACUAAGUUAAAGCAGAAAACUUUUUCUGAGGAUCCUUAGGUAGAGAAGGACUGAUGAGCACUUAUAGCAUAGAACUUUUCCUAUCACCCUUGUGGAAAUCUUGCUAGAUGAGGGACUAGGACUGAAAAAGCAGAAAGAUUUUUCUAUAAAAUGCUGUCCUCUGACAAAUCCAGAGAGAAAUACUCCUGUUGGAAAAUAAUAAUGCUGUGUAUUAUCUGCAAUGGCUUUCUUGAUAGAGGUCUUUGAAGCUUAGAGACAAGGAAAAAAAUACAUGCCAAGAUGACUGUUCCAGUCAAUAAAACCAUUUCCUAAUGAGUUCUUUUCCAGGUGACAAUAAAAUAGGCUGUAAGAGGAGUGGAUAGCACAACCAUGCAGCAUCCCUGUAGGAAAAGACUUUCAAAUUGAUGAUACCUUGAUAUUCAUUGUUCAUAAAUUUUCUCCAUUCUCAGAAUCUUUGAACUGCAGGGCAAACCUGUCCUUCCUUUAGCACUUCUUCCUCAUGCAAACAACUGGAAAGCUGAUUUGAGCACCUCUGGUGCUUUUUCUAUUCAAGAGCAUAAUCUCUUCUUGUUUCACCUACAGACUC